CCUCAAUCCUCGACUUUAACUCGUCGCAGCCCUCAUUCCCCAUUUCAUAUCUCAGUCCUCUCCGUCUUCAGCUCUCCACAACUCCACUCCCAUUCUCUCAAUCCCUGUCUCAGAUCUUUGUCCUCUCCGUCCCCAGCUCUCCACUCAUUUUCUCAGUCCCCGUAUCCCCGAAACCGAACUGAAACCGAACUUGACGCCGCCGAGCUCUACUCCCCGAAGCCGCCGAACGCCCGAACCCAGAUUUGUCCCCAACGCUAGCACCUCGAUCUGCUACCUGACGCCGCAUCAUCUCUGUGCCACCGGACUUCGAAGUCUCUCUACUCUCGCUGCAUCACACCCUCACAGUCUCUCUACCCGACGCCAACAUCGCACCUGUGCGCCGAAGCCAAAGGUUGAAGCUUUCACUCACUCCCAAUGGCAGAAUUCUCCUCCAGCCUUGUAGGUUCCCUAAAUAAGAUCCCUCUAUCGGUUGCUGGUAUUGUACUUUUCAAGGUCCCGACCAGUUUAGAGAACUCUGCAAGCAGAUUCUUUGGUCUUGUGGCGGGAGUAUUUUUUGUUAGAGCCAAAAUGCAGGAGAGAUCUCAAUCCUGAAAUGCUUUACCUUAGUUUGGCUUACACAAGAGGACCAUGUUUUGCAAUGGGGAAACUGCAUUCUGCUUCACUUCUUGGAAAUCAUCUGGUGAAGUGACUGAUUAAAGAUCAAGGAAGAUUUUGCCUAUUUAAGUGUGAUGCGGUACGUUUCUGGGUAUCUGGUGGAUGGGAUGAAAGUUUUCUUCAAACGUCAGGAGGCUUUUGGAGAAAUAUUGUAACAUAUGGUCUCAACCCAGAAAAAUUAUUUCUCCUCAGUAGUAACCACCUGCAAAUUUAAUAUAUGUUUAACACAGAUGCCUGGUAUAUGCAUCUAACUAUCUAUUGAGAGUGAAUAUACAUUCAUCUGUUUCAUUUCUCAUAGAUUGUAUUUAUCUUGCUUGGUUUGUUUUGUUCGGUUUAUUGAGUGUAUACCGCAACUUUGGAUGAGAUGUUAUGUUUGGUUUGUUUCAUAUAUUGAUUCUAUAUCAGUAAUCAUUGAUUAAUUAAAAUGCUACUGUGACUUUUGUAAUAAACCGAUUUUUCGGGUUCAAUUUGUAUGAAUUCGUUGAAUUUUAUAAAUUUGGUAAUUUUGAUAAAUCACAUUUUUCGCUUUGCGACGUUGUCGGUUUGAAAACAGAACCGUCUUCGGAAAUCUAAAUUUGAAAAACGUUACGUUGUCCGCGACACGGGAGUCGACUUUUACUCCGUUGCUCGUUUUCAA